UUCGCAAUGCCCGAAAGGGUGACGAAGCGACGCCGCGUGAGCGAAGAAGGCCUUAGGGUUGUAAAGCUCUGUCAAGGGUUAUGAAAUGUAGAUAAGUUAAUACCUUAUCUAUUUGACAAAGGCCCAAAAGGAAGCCACGGCUAACUCUGUGCCAGCAGCCGCGGUAAUACAGAGGUGGCAAGCGUUGUUCGGAAUUAUUGGGCGUAAAGAGCACGUAGGUGGUUUUGUAAGUCAGGUGUGAAAGCCUUCUGUUCAAAGGAAGAACGGCAUCUGAAACUGUAGAUCUUGAGUGUAGGAGGGGAGAGUGGAACUUCUGGUGGAGCGGUGAAAUGCGUAGAUAUCAGAAGGAACGUCGGCGGCGAAAGCGACUCUCUGGCCUAUUACUGACACUGAGGUGCGAAAGUUAGGGGAGCAAACGGGAUUAGAUACCCCGGUAGUCCUAACCGUAAACGAUGGGCACUAAGUAGAGGGGCAUU
rnacentral:rRNA from 1 species